rnacentral:rRNA from 1 species
GAUGAACGCUGGCGGCGUGCUUAACACAUGCAAGUCGAACGGACAGGCUCCUGCUUGCAGGGUUUCUCGAUUGGCGAACGGGUGAGUAACACGUGUGUGAUCUGCCCUGCACUUCGGGAUAAGCCUUGGAAACUGGGUCUCAUACAGGAUAGGAUCACUUUUUGGAUGGUGUGGUGGAAUGUUUUGCGGUGUGGGAUGAGCUUGCGGCUUGUCAGCUUGUUGGUGGGGUAAUGGCCUACCAAGGCGUAGACGGGUAGCCGGCCUGAGAGGGUGGAGGGCCACACUGGAACUGAGAGGCAGCCCACACUCCGACGGGAGGCAGCAGGGGGGAAUAUUUGACAAAGGACGCAAGCCUGAGGCAGGGACGCCUCGGGAGGGAUGACGGCUGUCGGGUUGGAAACACCAUUCUCUAGGGACGAAGCGUUUUUGUGACGGUACCUAAAGAAGAAGCACCGGCUAACUACGUG